UGUAGCCCAUUAAUAAAAUUUCUCCUUUUUCUCUCGAUCUCCACAGUCGACGGUUUCCUCUCAUCUUUUGUAGUUUUCUCUUUUGCUCCAAUGGAGGUUUCUCAAUCCAAAUCAAUUCUACAUUUUCAACAUGGCAUCAGAGCGUAUAUCCGUUGCGCGCCUCUGAUUACCUCUAUCUUCUCUAUCCUUUUUUGAUUUUUCGUUUGCCUUUUUUUCAUAGAGCUAGGGUUAGUGAUUUCAUGAGAAUUUUCUGCUGAUUGUUUCGGGAGAGUUCUUCAGGACGGAUAUGUUGUUGUUUCCCGCCGUAGUUCUUCCGCAAAGUCUGUCAGUUGUUUCACAACAAAGAACUCUUCUAGGGGCAGAAGAUGCUCAGUUCCAGCAAAAUGAUUGUUUGCAAUUGAUCAAGUUCAUCUUUCCUUGACAUGGAGUUAGAAUAAAUCUUAGUUGCUUGUAGUUCUCUUCUUAGUUUGAUACUUCAUUUCCAAGAUGGUAGCAUUUAUUUUGCUUCCAUCUUGAUGGGAGUGUUGAAAUUAAAAAUAAAAAUGUAAUUAGUUGAUAUUGUUUUCCUUUAUUAGUUAGUAUUUAGCAUUUUGUUUGUUUGUAUUUGUGCCUAUAUAUAAGGCCUUCUUUGUAUUUUUCAAUUAACACUUAGUAAAAAUGUAGCCCAUUAAUAAAAUUUCUCUUUUUUCUCUCCA